rnacentral:rRNA from 1 species
UACGUAGGAGGCGAGCGUUGUCCGGAGUUACUGGGCGUAAAGCGUGCGCAGGCGGUGAUGUAAGACAGGGGUGAAAUCCCCGGGCUUAACCUGGGAACUGCAUUUGUGACUGCAUCGCUGGAGUGCGGCAGAGGGGGAUGGAAUUCCGCGUGUAGCAGUGAAAUGCGUAGAUAUGCGGAGGAACACCGAUGGCGAAGGCAAUCCCCUGGGCCUGCACUGACGCUCAUGCACGAAAGCGUGGGGAGCAAACAGG